AGGAGCUCCUUGGCAGACCAGCGCUGCUCCUCAUCUGUCUGCAGGCAGCAGCUCAGGAAGUCACACAGCCAAGGUGAAAACAGGUUGGGCUCCUGCAGCUUUUCUUUCCCUCCUGUGCCUAUCAGGAUUUGAGGCUGGGGAAAAAGGAAACAGGGAGGUUCCACCUGCUGCUUUGCCCAUCUGUAACUUUGCCCAUCUCCCUGAGCCCAUUGUUUAAGCUUCAUUCUGCAGUGGCAGUUUCUGCCCUGGCAGAGACCCAGAGAUGACUUUCCUUCACCUACAAAAAACCCAAACCCCACAUUUUUUCCAACAUCCUACAGAUCUUGACUUGGCAGCUGAUUUCAUUGACUGACCUAACAAGUGGGAACUACAUCAGCAAAGCAUGUUUGAUUCUCUGAGAAUUCACACCAGCUCGAUAGGGUUUUUGGAAGAGGGACUUUGCUAUACUAACUCUGCUAUUUCCAAGGAUUAGUACAAGAAAGGCAUCUCUGCCAUGCUUGUUGGUCCCUUAAGCAGAGCUGCCAUAAAACAAAGCUCAUCAAGUUCUCUCCUUUGUUCUUGAAAACCAUGGUAAUUGGAAGGAAAGAAAGGAAAUCCACCAGGUAUUCCUCAGGGGCAUCUUCACAGACAGACAAGUGGGAACAAUUUGAAACCCAAAGCAAAGUGUUGCCUCAGAAGAGUUGGGGAGUGUUUGCCUGUGUUAAGGCUUGAGCUGUCUGGCAAUCCCCUUACAUCCAUGUGCAGAAACACCCAGCUGCUCCCCAGAUCUCAGUCCCUCUGGGCACACAGGCCUCAGGAAAACGAUUCCAGCCUUUCUCCUGCUCAAGAGCAUCUAACCUAAGCUGAGCUCCAGUUUCUUCAGUAAAGUCAAGGACGUUCUCUUCCAUGCAGCUGACAGUGUUCAUGGAGCUCAGCAGGUCUUCCUGAUAUUCCUCAGGCCAAGGAAUUACAGUGGAAUUUGGCCAGACAUCAGAUGAACAUUAUCCAGUGUGGUUCAUGUGGAACCAAGCUCUAACGCUGACAAGCCAAAGGGAGAGAGCUCAUUCUGCUUUUGAAAGAUGUCAGUUAGAAACAUAAGACACAGACUUGGAACUACUCAAACCUCAGCGUGCAGAAUCCAUCUAAAAUAGACCACAAUCAUAAUGGCAAGGGGCGUUGGAGUCUUGAUAAAAACGCCCACCACGAUAAUAAUAACUCUGCCCUAGUGGCAGUGAAAUCAAUGGUGGCCAAAGAGACUUUAUUACUUUCCUCUUCAAACCAAAGGAAAAUUUCCAAGCCUAAAAUAGCCAAUGUACUCUCCUUGAUUAAAAGCAAUUAUAACAAUUCAUUCAAGUACGCAGACGUGAGCCAAACAGAGGGAUCACAGGUCACGCCUGACGUUCCUUGUUCAUCAGUGGAACCUGCAAACUCUGAUUUUAUGCUAUUUAUAAAUGUGCCAGUUGUUGGUUUAGUAGAGCUUUUUUGGCAAAAUCAUGGGUUUUGUUUUCUUAUGUUACAGAUCCCCUCUAUUGGACUUUCAAAGGUGAAAUUUUAUUUAAAAUCAAAACCAAAGUUUUUAAAUUGAUAUAUAUGGGAAGAUCUUUUGCCGAAAAUUAGGUCAUUAAAAGGAUGCAGCGUUCCUCA